GAUGAAGAACGUAGCGAAAUGCGAUAAGUAAUGUGAAUUGCAGAAUUCAGUGAAUCAUCGAAUCUUUGAACGCACAUUGCGCCCCCUGGUAUUCCGGGGGGCAUGCCUGUUCGAGCGUCAUUUCACCACUCAAGCCUCGCUUGGUAUUGGGCAACGCGGUCCGCCGCGUGCCUCAAAUCGACCGGCUGGGUCUUCUGUCCCCUAAGCGUUGUGGAAACUAUUCGCUAAAGGGUGUUCGGGAGGCUACGCCGUAAAACAACCCCAUUUCUAAGGUUGACCUCGAAUCAGGUAGGAAUACCCGCUGAACUUAAGCAUAUCAAUAAGCGGAGGA
rnacentral:misc_RNA from 1 species